rnacentral:rRNA from 1 species
GAUGAACGCUGGCGGCGUGCUUAACACAUGCAAGUCGAACGAUGAAGCCCAGCUUGCUGGGUGGAUUAGUGGCGAACGGGUGAGUAACACGUGAGUAACCUGCCCUUAACUCUGGGAUAAGCCUGGGAAACUGGGUCUAAUACCGGAUAGGAGCGUCCACCGCAUGGUGGGUGUUGGAAAGAUUUAUCGGUUUUGGAUGGACUCGCGGCCUAUCAGCUUGUUGGUGAGGUAAUGGCUCACCAAGGCGACGACGGGUAGCCGGCCUGAGAGGGUGACCGGCCACACUGGGACUGAGACACGGCCCAGACUCCUACGGGAGGCAGCAGUGGGGAAUAUUGCACAAUGGGCGCAAGCCUGAUGCAGCGACGCCGCGUGAGGGAUGACGGCCUUCGGGUUGUAAACCUCUAUCAGUAGGGAAGAAGCGAAAGUGACGGUACCUGCAGAAGAAGCACCGGCUAACUACGUG